rnacentral:rRNA from 1 species
CGAAUGCUGACAUAAGUAACGAUAAAGCGGGUGAAAAGCCCGCUCGCCGGAAGACCAAGGGUUCCUGUCCAACGUUAAUCGGGGCAGGGUGAGUCGACCCCUAAGGCGAGGCCGAAAGGCGUAGUCGAUGGGAAACAGGUUAAUAUUCCUGUACUUGGUGUUACUGCGAAGGGGGGACGGAGAAGGCUAUGUUGGCCGGGCGACGGUUGUCCCGGUUUAAGCGUGUAGGCUGGUUUUCCAGGCAAAUCCGGAAAAUCAAGGCUGAGGCGUGAUGACGAGGCACUACGGUGCUGAAGCAACAAAUGCCCUGCUUCCAGGAAAAGCCUCUAAGCAUCAGGUAACAUCAAAUCGUACCCCAAACCGACACAGGUGGUCAGGUAGAGAAUACCAAGGCGCUUGAGAGAACUCGGGUGAAGGAACUAGGCAAAAUGGUGCCGUAACUUCGGGAGAAGGCACGCUGAUAUGUAGGUGAAGUCCCUCGCGGAUGGAGCUGAAAUCAGUCGAAGAUACCAGCUGGCUGCAACUGUUUAUUAAAAACACAGCACUGUGCAAACACGAAAGUGGACGUAUACGGUGUGACGCCUGCCCGGUGCCGGAAGGUUAAUUGAUGGGGUCAGCGCAAGCGAAGCUCUUGAUCGAAGCCCCGGUAAACGGCGGCCGUAACUAUAACGGUCCUAAGGUAGCGAAAUUCCUUGUCGGGUAAGUUCCGACCUGCACGAAUGGCGUAAUGAUGGCCAGGCUGUCUCCACCCGAGACUCAGUGAAAUUGAACUCGCUGUGAAGAUGCAGUGUACCCGCGGCAAGACGGAAAGACCCCGUGAACCUUUACUAUAGCUUGACACUGAACAUUGAGCCUUGAUGUGUAGGAUAGGUGGGAGGCUUUGAAGUGUGGACGCCAGUCUGCAUGGAGCCGACCUUGAAAUACCACCCUUUAAUGUUUGAUGUUCUAACGUGGACCCGUGAUCCGGGUUGCGGACAGUGUCUGGUGGGUAGUUUGACUGGGGCGGUCUCCUCCUAAAGAGUAACGGAGGAGCACGAAGGUUGGCUAAUCCUGGUCGGACAUCAGGAGGUUAGUGCAAUGGCAUAAGCCAGCUUGACUGCGAGCGUGACGGCGCGAGCAGGUGCGAAAGCAGGUCAUAGUGAUCCGGUGGUUCUGAAUGGAAGGGCCAUCGCUCAACGGAUAAAAGGUACUCCGGGGAUAACAGGCUGAUACCGCCCAAGAGUUCAUAUCGACGGCGGUGUUUGGCACCUCGAUGUCGGCUCAUCACAUCCUGGGGCUGAAGUAGGUCCCAAGGGUAUGGCUGUUCGCCAUUUAAAGUGGUACGCGAGCUGGGUUUAGAACGUCGUGAGACAGUUCGGUCCCUAUCUGCCGUGGGCGCUGGAGAACUGAGGGGGGCUGCUCCUAGUACGAGAGGACCGGAGUGGACGCAUCACUGGUGUUCGGGUUGUCAUGCCAAUGGCACUGCCCGGUAGCUAAAUGCGGAAGAGAUAAGUGCUGAAAGCAUCUAAGCACGAA